ensembl:lncRNA
CUUACAUCUAAAAUCUGUCCUUUCAAUCUCUUUAUAAGACCCCUUUAGUAAAAAGAAAGUCAUUAAUAGAGGAAAGGAGUUACAGUGUCAGGAAAACAGAGGGAGUUUUAGGAGGGGUUUCUUUAGAAGUGGGUGUGACAAUAGAACUAAGAGAAACAGGAAUUUGGGACUUUUGAGCCAGAUCAGAUUUCAAUACAACAUUGCCAAUUUGCAUCAUGGAGAAUAUGUUGUUAGUCACAAAUACAAUGAUUCCUGUGACCAGAGUAACAAUUGUAAACAUUAGGGCAAGAAAAAAUAAAACAUGAGGGUACGAUGUGUUCCACCCUCCUUUUCCCCCAGCUGGAACUUUGUCAAGCAGCAUUGGAGGUUGGUCGGGCUUCGCCACAGGGCCACACCCCAGACCUGCCAGUCCCAGGAGCAGGCCCCACAGGAACCCACAGGGUCACCCAGGGCCAGGCCAGGGCCAAUCAAAACCUGAGGUCAGAAAAGCAGAAGUGUGCCCUGCUUUCUCCCAUGUCUAGGGCAUGGGAAACUAGCCCCGGCCAGGGCAGGGCAGGACACCGGCCACAUAGCUGCAGGACUGAGGUCUGGAGAGGUCAGUGUCACCCAGAGAGAGGCUGAGGCAGGGUCUCCCCCAGGCCCCUCUGUGGGCUCCUGCUCCUUCUGUUUUCCUUUCACCAAAGCUUCAGCCUCAGACCCAUUAUGUCCCGUCACGCGAUCCUGUGGGUGCACCUCCCCUGGGCUGCAUGGCCCUCACCUGAGGAGCCUGGCCACAGAAGUGGACAGGUGGCCCUGCACUGGUGAGGUGGGGACAAACGGGACCCAGUCCAAAUCCAUGUACAAGUGGAGAAGGGACACCCUUGAGCCCUUGUCUUUCCACCCUCCCGGCGGCACAAAGCAGCCUUGGUGGGUUCGUGAAGGAGGCCUGGUCCCCAAGCCAGUUCCUGGGCCUCUCUUGUCUCUCACAUGAACGGUGGGAUUUCCAGUUUCAUCUGCUCCUGCCCAGCCCCUCCUGAGGAUUUGCGAGAGGGAUGAGGAUGGAGGGGCUGGGUAGGGUGGUGGCUGCUGCUGUGCUCGGUGCCCCUCCCAUGUCCCCAGAGGUGUGACGCUGUGCUGGAUGGGACAGCCACCCUUGGGGGGCCACCGUGGCUGCCACCUCCCUGGCUGGCAGAAGGAGCAGAGCUUCCUGGGUCUCUGUCCUGCAAGGCUGCACCCUGGGCCUGCCCUGGGGUCCGGGCUUCCAAGGGGGACACGGGGUCUGUGCUGGACAGAGGACAACAGAGGCUGCACAUUGUGCCCCCUUCGUACCCCCACAGUUUGCCUGGCUUUACUGUGUUCUUACCCUGAGCCUGCAGGAGCCAGGAAGGAGAGGGAAUCAGGUGGCCCUUGGGCCUGAGGAGGGAGCACCGAGGGAGAGGGAGGCAGGAUGGUUCCAGGCUUGGAGGGGUGCAAGAGGCAGAGGGAGGCGCCAGCCUGUUGCUUUCACAGGGGGCGGGGUGUGGCUGUGGACGUGGGGUGCAGCUGGUCCUAGAGAUGAAGCCUGAAGGACACAGACCACCUGCCAAGUGGGCGGCAGACAGUGGUGUGGCCAGAGCCCUCCCGCCCACGUCCACGAGGCUGGCAGAUUCCGAUGCUGCACCUGACACAUCUGUUCAGACCCCUUCCUCUUUGGAAAUGCACCUCGCCACAAGCUUCCUCUUUCCCUUCCAUCCUCCAUGGGCCUGGGGAGGCGACAGCAGCUUCUGGCUGUCCUGUCUGGGCUGCACCCCCAGCACCCCAGGACUGGGUGCCACCCUCAGGGUGCAGGCUGCUCCUGCACAUCUGGCCCUGGGCCUGGGACCUCGUGGGCCAGCUGGGGUGGGGCGGCCCCCUCUGCCCUUGCUCAGGCUGCUACAUUCUCGUCCGCAGCACUUCCGUAGCCCUGACAGGAAAUGCUGCAGUCUCAACCUCCGCCAUCUCAGGCAACUUCUUGUUUCCCAGUUGCCCUGUGCUAGCCCUGGGGUUGUGCCCCUUGGCUCCACCCCCAGCACUUUCCCAGGGCCCGGUCCCAGCAGCUCAGAGGGGACAGGAUGGUGGACGUGAUUGCUAAACUGACCAGGAGGCAGAGCCAGGCCCUGCGGGUUCAGAGUGACCGGCGACCCCAGCCACCUGCUUCCUCCGCGGGGCGGGCACUCGCCCUCCUUCCCCCUCCACGAGCCCUGGCUGUGGAUGCUGAUGCCUGCGACUCCCACACUGGAAAGUGCAGGCCCCACCCAGAAGGGUUCGGACCCCAGGGCUCCCUGGGCUGAGC